AUUUAUGCAAUGGGCAACGAAGCAGAGAUGAAUUACAAAUCAUUCAUGUUUGCUGGAGAUGAGGACCAUAAUGACUUUGAUAUUGUGAUGAGGAAGUUCGAUGAUUACUUUUUCCCGUGGAGGAAUAUUACACACGGUUUUUACCACCAUGUUCAGCGGCCUGGGAAGAAGGCAGAAAGUUUUAUUCGGGCCUUCUAUGACUCAUCUGAGCACUGUCAAUUUGGUGCAGCCAGAGAUGAAAUAAUCCGCGACCGUAUUGUGGUCAGUAUACAGGACAAGGAGCUCUCACACAGGCUAAAACUGAUGGUGAACCUCACACUAACACAGACGACAUAGGCCGUCAGGCAAUCAGCAGGUCGCAGGACUCGGCGGGAUCAGUGCAGGAGGUGCGGCAUGAAAGAAAAGAUGCACAAACAACAAGCACACAGCAACAGCAACGCAGCCGGUCACGGCCAGCCAAGAAAUGGGGAAUGAGAAGAAAUGUGGUAAAUGUACCAAAACAGGACACAAUACAGACGAGAAAUGUCCUGCAGCAAGAGCUACAUGUCACAACUGCCACAAAACGAGACAGAAUGUGCCGCAAUAGCAGGUCGGUGAUUGACAUCACAGAGUCUAACAAGUAUGAGUAGUCUUCACAGUUCUACGGUUCACUGUGUGACGCAAAUCAGAAAAAUAAAAACUGUGCAGCUACAUAUGGAUUCCAUCCCAGUAGAAUUCAAGAUUGACACAGGAGCUGAUGUCAAUGUCAUAAAUGAGGACACUUUUGUCUAACUUACCCCUGAAAGAACAUUAGAACCAUCUGGCGUUCCCCUAGACAGCCCCGGAAGAGAGUUGUUGUGUUUGGGCUGCUUCAAAGUCACAGUGAGCUAUAAAGGCAAGUUCUUUCCAUCUAAGAUGUACUGUAUGCAGUUCAUGGACACAGAAUCAACAAUCUGCUCAGCCGCUCCUUGUCAGUGAGGAUGAGUCUGAUGAGGCGAGGAUUGAGACACAACAUAAGAGAGCCCCGGCAGCCUUACAGAGAGCACGGAACUGUAAAUGCUGGACCAAUAACACUCCAGUUAACAGACGAUGCUGUGCCAUAUGUUUUGCACACUGUACCCUUUUCUUAUGUUGCAGAAAGUGAGAGAAGAACUGCAUAGAAUGGAAAACAAUGGUUUCACAGAGUGAGUGACACAACAAACUGAAUGGUGUGCCCUGCAGGUCACUGACUGGCCAGACAGUAACGUCAUGAAUGAGUCUUGAGAGCAACUUCUUCACGCCAGUGACCAUAUUUAGUUUACAACUAACUUUGGUGCAGGGAAAAAUGGCAAGCAAACAUAUUCAUUGGUGCAACGAGGUGCUCCAGAUGCUUCUGUGCUUUGUGGCGGACAACCGCAUCCAGAGGGAGCUCGAUGGGUCAAUUCAACCUGAGAAGGUUUUUGUGGAGGGCUCCGAGCAGGUGGCAACUCGUGGGUACCAGACAUCAAGGCAGUGUAGGGAGAAGCUAAAAAGCAAUGAAAAGUAAUUACCAGGACCACAACCAUUUAUGGGAACCGACCGAUGACUAACGCGAGGGAGGGUGCCUUGGACCCUUUGAGGGAAAUCGUGGUGGAAGCUGUUCCAGUCCUUUAGUGGGGAGCUGUCCUACCACACCAUGGACCCUGCUUCCCUUUCGGCCUUCUUCCCAGCAGCAGCCUCCAUACCCACACACUCUUCAACGCUGGCAACGUCUAGCUCAACAUCAGUUGUUGGCGCGGGUACAAAAUUCUAAACAGGUAAGAGGAAGAGGAGCCACAGCAUGCCAGAUUUUGGCUUCAUUGAGGAAAUGAAGGCGGAGGACACCUUAAACCAGGCCCAGCCUGAGAGGAACUUCCAGGUGUUGCUGAAUGAUGCCCAUGAGGCAAGGAAGCAGGAAGUAACCAUGAUGAGGGAGGAGACGGUACCUUCUACCUACUACCUUCAAGCAAGCCUUCUUGGGUGUGCUGGAUAACCUUGUA